rnacentral:rRNA from 1 species
GACGAACGCUGGCGGCGUGCCUAAUACAUGCAAGUUGAGCGCUGAAGGUUGGUACUUGUACCAACUGGAUGAGCAGCGAACGGGUGAGUAACGCGUGGGGAAUCUGCCUUUGAGCGGGGGACAGCAUUUGGAAACGAAUGCUAAUACCGCAUAAAAACUUUAAACACAAGUUUUAAGUUUGAAAGAUGCAAUUGCAUCACUCAAAGAUGAUCCCGCGUUGUAUUAGCUAGUUGGUGAGGUAAAGGCUCACCAAGGCGAUGAUACAUAGCCGACCUGAGAGGGUGAUCGGCCACAUUGGGACUGAGACACGGCCCAAACUCCUACGGGAGGCAGCAGUAGGGAAUCUUCGGCAAUGGACGAAAGUCUGACCGAGCAACGCCGCGUGAGUGAAGAAGGUUUUCGGAUCGUAAAACUCUGUUGGUAGAGAAGAACGUUGGUGAGAGUGGAAAGCUCAUCAAGUGACGGUAACUACCCAGAAAGGGACGGCUAACUACGU